UCACUGAGUGUAUGACCAGCAGCC
rnacentral:piRNA from 1 species